rnacentral:rRNA from 1 species
UACGUAGGGUGCGAGCGUUGUCCGGAAUUAUUGGGCGUAAAGAGCUUGUAGGCGGUUUAUCGCGUCUGCUGUGAAAGUCCGGGGCUCAACUCCGGAUCUGCGGUGGGUACGGGCAGACUAGAGUGAUGUAGGGGAGACUGGAAUUCCUGGUGUAGCGGUGAAAUGCGCAGAUAUCAGGAGGAAUACCGUUAGCGAAGGCGGCAAUCUGGCUGGAAACUGACGCUGAGGUGCGAAAGCGUGGGUAGCAAACAGG